CAGUAGCCACGGUAAUACGAAGGGUGCAAGCGUUACUCGGAAUUACUGGGCGUAAAGCGUGCGUAGGUGGUGGUUUAAGUCCGUUGUGAAAGCCCUGGGCUCAACCUGGGAAUUGCAGUGGAUACUGGGUCACUAGAGUGUGGUAGAGGAUAGUGGAAUUUCCGGUGUAGCAGUGAAAUGCGUAGAGAUCGGAAGGAACAUCUGUGGCGAAGGCGACUAUCUGGGCCAACACUGACACUGAGGCACGAAAGCGUGGGGAGCAAACAGGAUUAGAUACCCCAGUAGUCCAUGUCUCUUAUAC
rnacentral:rRNA from 1 species